GCCGAGGGAGCCAGGACGGCAGUUCCCGGGAAGCCUCAACGCAGAAUGACGGUGCGAUCCAGGGACUCCGUGUCCAGGCCAAAAGGAUAUCAGGGAUGUCAUCCAGUGUGGAAUAUGGGGACCCAGCCUUGAAACAGAAUUGCCUUUUGAGACAGGCCUGAUGAAGUCUGUCCCUGCCAGGUCCCUGGUACCCUUCACCUCGGGCCCCCAUGCCUGUCACAUAUGUCAAAACUAAAGAGGAUUUUUCGCUGAGUGUGUCGGCUCCUUCCUUCACUUCCUGGAACUCACGUGAGGGGCACGUGUCAGCACCACGGAGGGAGCAACAGGAGAACGGCAGGGUGUGCCAGGAGAGGUGAAGAGAGCCAAGGCGGCCCCCCGUCAGGGAAGGCACUGCUGUGGGGACGUGCUUUGCUGAUUCGGAUAAUGCUCUGGACCUCGUCUAGGUCCCUCACGGACCCCUCAGGACACAAACACCUGUAUAUUUAGGGCCAGCAGCUUGUCUGGUCCACGAGGAAAAGCUAACUUCCAUCCACUGCAGCCCCUUUGAGACAGGAGGGAACCCCUGACCUUGAGAGGCUGGAGUGGAGAAUGAGGGUCUGGGCAACGGAUGCCACCUCUGGUUUUUCCCUUUGGGGUGGAAUUCACAUACCAUAAAAUUCACUCUUUUAAAGUA